GUUCCUUUUUCUCCACUGCAUAGCUGCUCAAGAUUUGUUUAGAAGCGACAAUUCUGGCUUCUUUCAAUUUAUUUUCUUCCAUCCACACCGGCAAAAUAAAUGAAAUAAAGAAGCAAAAUGCAAUACCAAACGUCUUCAUCACUAAAGGCUUAACAGACGGGGGCAUUCGUAUUGCUGCGUUAGAGGUGAAAUUCUUGGAUCGCAGCAAGAUGAACAAUUGCGAAAGCAUUUGCCAAGAAUGUUUUCAUUAAUCAAGAACGAAAGUUAGAGGUUCGAAGGCGAUCAGAUACCGCCCUAGUUCUAACGGUAAACUAUGCCAACCAGCGAUUCGCCGAAGUUCAUUUAAGACUCGGCGAGCAGCUUCCGGGAAACCAAAGUGUUUCGGUUCCGGGGGGAGUAUGGUUGCAAAGCUGAAACUUAAAGGAAUUGACGGAAGGGCACCACCAGGAGUGGAGCCUGCGGCUUAAUUUGACGCAACACGGGAAAACUCACCCGGCCCGGACACUGGAAGGAUUGACAGAUUGACAGCUCUUUCUUGAUUCAGUGGGUAGUGGUGCAUGGCCGUUCUUAGUUGGUGGAGCGAUUUGUCUGGUUAAUUCCGAUAACGAACGAGACUCUACCCUAUUAAAUAGUGACAGUAUUGUAUUUUUUGUGCUGAUCACUUCUUAGAGGGACUGGCAAAUUGAAAGCUGCACGAAAAAGAGCAAUAACAGGUCUGUGAUGCCCUUCGAUGUCCGGGGCUGCACGCGCGCUACAAUGAAAGCGUCAACGUGAGUUACGUCCUUACCUGAAAAGGUUUGGCAAUCGAAUGAAACGUUUUCUUGAAUGGAAUAGGGAAUUGCAAUUGUUUCCCUUGAACGAGGAAUUCCCAGUAAGCGUGAGUCAUUAGCUCGCGUUGAUUACGUCCCUGCCCUUUGUACACACCGCCCGUCGCUACUACCGAUUGGAUGAUUUAGUGAGGUGUUUUGACUGGCGCCAGUAGUCGGAUGUAUUCGGCUUCGCGCCGGGAAAUUUCCCAAACCAAAUCAUCUAGAGGAAGUAAAAGUCGUAACAAGGUUUCCGUAGGUGAACCUGCGGAAG
rnacentral:rRNA from 1 species